rnacentral:rRNA from 1 species
AGCGAACGCUGGCGGCAGGCUUAACACAUGCAAGUCGAGCGGCCACUCUCGGGUGUCAGCGGCGGACGGGUGAGUAACGCGUGGGAACGUGCCCUCUGGUUCGGAUUAACUCAGGGAAACUUGAGCUCAUACCGGAUACGCCCUUUUGGGCAAAGGCUUGCUGCCGGAGGAUCGGCCCGCGUCUGAUUAGCUAGUUGGUGCGGUAACGGCGCACCAAGGCGACGAUCAGUAGCUGGUCUGAGAGGAAGAUCAGCCACACUGGGACUGAGACACGGCCCAGACUACUACGGGAGGCGGGAGUGGGGAAUAUUGGACAACGGGCGCAAGCCUGAUCCAGCCAGGCCGCGUGAGUGAUGAAGGCCUUAGGGUUGUAAAGCUCUUUUAUCCGGGACGAUAAUGACGGUACCGGAGGAAUAAGCCCCGGCUAACUUCGUG